rnacentral:lncRNA from 1 species
CAGGAUGCGGUGGGUGAACGUGGGGAAGUGAGCCAGGAAAAGGAAGAAAGCCAUUGAGGCUGCACUAAUAAUGGGUUACUUUGAGGGUGACUGGAGCUCAGUCUUAUUAAGAUCCUUCUAAGAAACUGUGGAAAAUAAUCCCAACAUUUCCCACCAAGAGGUGAGAAAGCUGGGUCAUUUUCAGUUUCAACUCUGGUUGACAGUCUCUGAGACAUUAACUCCCUGGUACUUCCAGCCUGCCCCAUGUGUGAGCCAAGCACAGUCCUGGGCUAGAGAGUGCCCGCGGGCUGAGAGGCACAGGAAGCCAGUGGACAGUAAGGGAGUUGUCUUCAGAUGACCUCCAGGGUGUGUCAAGGGGAUAUGGGCAGGGCAUGAGUGCAUCUUUCACAGCACGUCCUUUGUAUUGUUUAUUAACGUGCCCAUGUUAAGUUCGUUCUGUCACUAAUUCUUUAAAAUGGCCUUAAUCAUACCCCUGAUGGAAGGAUGUAACAGCAGGGCGGUUGGUGGGAUGCUGCUGCAGUUGUUCCCAGGCUGUGGGGAUAUUCAUCCUCUCCUUCAUAGAAUGUUCAUUCUGGAAUCCCC